AUUUGCUCAUGUCUCAUUCCUCACAUUUAAAAACUCCCUUGUAGAAGCAAACUGGAAGGAUGAGGAAUACAAGGUCUGAAUUCAAAGUCAGGGCCCUCGUUACAGCUGGGACAGAGUUAAUUUUCUUCAUAGCAUCUGGUAUGGUGCUAUGACAACACACCAAUGUUUUAUUUGUUUCUGAGCAGUGGUUGCACAGAGUCAAAAGGCAUUUCAGCUUCCCCUAUUGCCCUGCCAGUGAGGGGACUAAGGGUGGCACAAGAAGCUGAAAGAGGAUGGAACCAGGACAGCUGAUCUAAACUUUCCAAAGGGAUAUUCUAUACCAUGUGACAUAAUGUGAAAGAUAUAAAACUGAGGGCAGUCGGCCAGAGGGACAGUCGCUGCUCAGCAACUGGAUGGGCAUCAGUCAGUGGGUGUAAGUAGCUUUUAUCUCAGCCUUCAAGUUCCAAUUUUGUUUCCCCAAUUCUCUCCCCAUUUCAUUGGAAGAGUGUAACUUGAGAGAAUGACUGUGUGGAGCUGAGCUGCCUGCUGUGUUAAACCACAACAGCCAGCUUGGUGGCAUUGGCAAACUUGCUGAGGGUGCACUUGAGCCCACCAUCGAUGUCACUGAUGAUGUUGAAGAACAGCAAUCCCAAGUGCAGUGAAUGCAGUGCCCAUGCUGUCCCACCGCACACGUAGAAACAGAGCAGAUUGAGUCAGGUGAGUAUGAUCUGGAUUGCCUACAGCCCAGUUGUGAGGAGCCAGGACCCGGGUCACAUCUGGGAUCCAAGUCUGUGUGGAUGGGCCUACUCUAGAAAGUGAAAAACAGUCUGAAGGGAAUCAGAUAAAGACUUCUCUGGAGAGCAGUCAUUUUUUUUUUUUUGUAUUUUAUUUAUCUGAUGGACAGUCCAGUGGGCCUUUGAUUUAAAUUCCUAUGUGCUUAAACAGUGAUAAAAGACUGAAAAUGCAGAGAAAAUUACUGUCCAGUGUCAUCUCCCUAAAUAAAAUUUGCUGUAAUCUUCAUACACUUUUUUUUCUUUCUGUGUUUUUUGUUUUUUGUUUUUUUUUUUUUUUGCAUAAAUAACAAGUUUGGAAAUUUUAAGAUACUUUUAUUUUCUCAAUGAUUUCAUUCUCUACUGCAGUUUUAUAUCUAUGUUUACCGAUGUUUCCACCAUUUUCAAGAAAAGCCCGGAAUCUUUCUUCAUUUCAUAUGACUCUUGAUUUUUUUUAUUUUGUGUGUGUGUGUGUGUGUGUGUGUGUGUGUGUCACUAUUUACUGAAGCUGCUGUUAUCCACAAUUUUCCUCAGUCUUAAUGCAAGGAUAAGUUUUACCCUUAUAGUUAUAAAUAAUAUUGCAGUGAUACAAAAACUUUACUUUAUCCCAGUCAUGCUUACCAGAGCUCCUGGCAGAAUCCCAAAAAUCAGCCUCAGCUGCAGUAGUACACAGUUCAAUCCUCACUUUAUUCCCAGACUUGAGUUACCCUUUUCUCCUUUUGUUUUAGCAGAUGUAACAUUACGGCAUCAUGCUUGCCCUUACAUUUUAUGGCCAAGAAGGAAAAUGUUCCUCAUGGAAGCCUUGGAUACUGUAAUCAUCAGACUUUCUCUCCCAGCUUUUUGUCCCUGAACUUGGCCUCUUGUUUCUGUCCAAUUGUCCUGAAUUUAUGGGAUCUGGGUAGUUCAAGCAAAUCAGUCCCCAGAUUGCUCUGAAAGCAGCCAAACUCCCAUCUACAUACUUAAGGUUUUGUAAAACAAAAGGGGAAAGGAGGGCAGAGGGAAGCCAACAGGUUAGUGGGGCUUCUCUUUAUGAUUCCUCAGGGGAAGAAAAAUAACACUCUAAUGAUUUAAACAGCCUGAUGUGUGUUGUCAAGGCCCAUAAGUCAGCACCAAAGAGGUAUAUGCAGCAUGCCCUAUAGCAGCUAAAAAAUGCAUUUGCCAUAAAACGAUACUGUGUUAUUCACCUAUUAUUAUCCACAAAUCCAGCCCAGGCCCUUUAGUAGGUGACCAAUUUAAAUAAGGUAAAGCUCUGGAGACUGGCCAUUACUAUACAGUGUACCUUUUAGAACCACUCUACAAUAAUGAUCUACCUGAGAAAAUACCCUUUGUACAUGCUUCUUUUCUCUUUUUCUGGUUUCAGAAUCUUAAUUUUGACAGUAUUAAGGUAUUUUGUAAUAUAGUUAAUUUUUGCUGUAAACAGAGUCAGUGCUUCUAAUUUAAGGAGUCCCCACAGUGUUUAAUCUGCAAUUAAUUUGAAUAAAAUAUUUAUGUUAGAGAUAACUCAUAAUCAAAAUGACGUUAAUAUGAUGCGUAUUUGAAAUUACAAGCAGUACAACAUAUGCAUAUUUUAUUAAACAUUCAUAACAUCAUCGAGGACAACCAUUAAUCCAUUACUCAAGAUAACUUUAGUCUAUCUCUAUUUGAAGCUGGAACAUUAGAGAGGGAGAGAGUAAAUUGGUUCUCACCUCUGUUUCAUGACAUCCUGGCAUAAACAGAUCCCCAAACAUGGAAAGGCACAGAAGUGUUGCUGAACAAGGUGCAACCAUGUCAGCCCAUCGUGUGUUGGCAAAUAUCCUUCACUGAAGCUGCAGCGCUGAAGCCACUAAAUUUAUCUCAAAUUUGGAAAUUAGUCACUGAACAUCAUUGAUCAUAUCUUUGAUAUGGCCAAGGAAUUAUUUGGCCAUAAUGUUUUCUGAAGUCAAAUCUGAGCUGCCAGGAGAUACCAAUCAGUAACAAUGCUUUGCAUGUUAGCAAAAUAUGUAUUAUUUCUGUCAAUUAGCCAAGCAGAGAAGCUGAGGAUCACUACAUUUUAAUAUAGGCUCACUUAACUUUCAGUAUUAUUAAGACCCUGUGAGUCACUCAAAAUAAUGAUUCCAAGUGGGGGGAAGGAAAGGCAGAUAAUGAAACCUGCAGACAUGGAAGAAGUUUUAAUACUCCUAGGAGGCAUUAUACAGAAUGCCAGACUGGACACCUACUGAAAGUGCUGGAACCAUUGUCUUUCUGUAAAAGUAAGUAAAUGCUCAAAAUAAAUUCAUCAAGCUAAUGCUUAUUUUAUAAAAGCCAGACCGAUUUUUGUUGAGGGGAGGGAAUUCUUAUCUUAUAUUUAAUCUGGUCAUUAUUUUUUUGUAGGUUGGGCUGAAUGGAAAGUAGUUAUUGCUUUUAAUUUUGGAUCCUAAAACACUAUAAAAGUACCACUCACCUAAACUUCCACAUAAUGAAGUGCAGUAACCCUUCUGGAAGAACCAGGUAACUACCAUACUCCACAAGCUCCUAUUAAUGUUAUCCAAUCCUUUCCAAUGAACACUCUUUCCUACAACUUCCAUUUUGUUUUUCAAGUGUUAGAAAAAUUCUAAGAAAGGUGACAUAAGUUCAUUUAGGUGCACUUGGCCGGAAAAAAAUCACUUCCUAUGAAGUAGAAAUUAAACACAGUUCUGCUUGUCUUGUAAGGCAAGGAAAAGUAGUAGCUUAAAUAUCAAUUAGAUUCCUUAAUUUCAAAGUCAAAAUGUUUAAUUAAUAAUGUAUUAUCAAUAUUAUUUUUAGUAAUUAAUGAAAGGUUAGAAUCAUAAUGUUGGGACAUAAAUUUCAACUCAUUUGAAUGUGUGUGUGUAUAUAUAUAUUGUUAUGUCUUUAAUUUUAGUUUUCAGUAGGUGUAUAUGUAUAUAGGUAUAGAUAAUAUAUAUAUAUAUGUAGCUAUAUACCUGAUAUAGGUAUAGAUUAUAUAUAUAUAUAUAUACCUACUGAAAACUAAAAUUAAAGACAUAACCAAAAACACACCUGCCAGUCUAAGAAGUGAUAUAUUAAAGUUAAUAUCUGAACUCUUUUAUAUGUCUGUCAGUUUUAACACUACAAAUUGGAGGUGAUGUGUCAUAACUAUGGGCAAAAGGCCACAUAAUAAAUGCAACAAUCAAUUGAUCUUUGAUUAUCCCUAGUCAGUGAUUUUUUCAUUAUGAUAACCAAGUUAAGUUUCUUUUUUAUUUCAGAAACAUCUAAUUUCCUGUAUUUUACUGAUCUAUCCAGGGGCAAAAUUAAGUUCCAAGAAAUUUUCAUCACAUUUCAUUACAGUGGAAAAGAAAAGAGAGAAAAAAAAAUAACAAAAGCAUCAGAAGCAUCACCCUGUGGCACCUGUUGACAGAGGGAUAAAGAAGAAAGUUUAAUCAUUGUUGUGUGACCCCCCUGGACAGCUUUGUGGUUGUCAAUCAGCAUCAUGCAGAGCUGUAGUGUGCCACUCGCAGUGGUGAUGACCAGGCCUGCCCCAGGUUUCUCCUUCACUAUUUUGUAGGACAUCUGUAGUUCUUCCUUUAUCCAGAUUUGUUGCUCAUUCCCUUAAGAUCCCAAUUUAUACAGUCCAUUUUCAAGAUUCAAAUAAAUUUGGAUUUGUUAUAUCUGCAGGUAGAUAUCAGAACAUUCACCUUGCACUCUUUCCUUUGUUCAAGGAGCUUUAUGAGGUUUUUCUGUUUACUGGUAUUAUUUUAUUUUUCAGCUAUAAAUUAACUUUAUAGUAAGCAUAUUUACUCCUGUGCCAGGGGACAGUUCACUAAAGUUAACAUAUAUUUCCAAUGUAUGACUAGAAUUCAACUUAGCAUAGAAAAAACUUUGGGUUGUUGGGUUUCUUUUUUGUUGUUUUUGUUUUGUUUUGUUUUGUUUUGUUUUCUGUGUCCUACAAGCAUAAGAGAUCAAAAGCAAUCACUUUUGCAGAGCAGGGGGUAUUUUACAUUUUUUUUGAGGAUCUCUACCUCUUUAGGCAGGAACAAUAUAAUAUGUACCUGACACACACUAAAGUAGAAGAUAUAAAAUGUGGUUUACCCUGACUAGUCUGGGAACAGAAACAGAAUGAAAAGCUUAUCUUUGUUAAGUGAGGUAUCUACAUGCUAUAAGUCUUUGUAGCCCUACAUCCUCCCAUUGUUUUAGGAAAGACAGAGCACCUCUUUUCAAUUAGGAAAAGAAUGCAAGCCUCUAAGUCUGCCUGCCUGUUUUUCCACUUGGACAUGGACCUAUCACACAAUUCACUGAGUUCAGAAAGGAAAGUCACAGUACUAGUUAACAUUUUUAUGACUUGUUUACUUAGAGAAAUAACAUUUAACCACGCAAUCUAUUUUAACUAAAAGAAAAGAAAUACUCAAAGAAUGUGUAUCAGAGGAAUCUACUGUUUGUAUAAAAAUAUGCUUUCUAUCACAGAGAUGAGAUCGUGCCAGAAACUUGUUAUGAUUUCUCAACAUUUUGUAGCAUGUGAGGUAAAAAAAAAAAAGGCAACUUUUCAAUAAAUACAUCUGCGUACUGUUUUUGUAAAUCUGCAAAGUAAGAUUAAAAAUUAUUUUUCUUCAUCUCAUUAAAAUCAAUAAAAUAUAAACAAGCAUGGAAGCUUCUCAGAUAAUAAGCAUCAUAAAUCUACAGUUUAGUUUUCUUUAAAAUGUUCUGUUUACAUGCAGAAAUCCUGCUGAAAGAUGUGGCAGGAACCAUGGUAUUAUCUUCAUUAAAAAAAAGAUAUUGCAAUAUGUUAGUGUCCAAAUGUUUACUUUGAAAUAGAUCAUAAUGUCUGAGGAAGUAAACCCAGCAUUCCUCCAUCCCAUGGAGGAUGAGGGGACACAUCUCCUUUGUAAGCCACAGGUUCUAUAUUUGCUACAAACAAGAAAAUAAUUCUGUGUAAUGUUACUGUUAUUGUACAGAAAGAUACACACACACACAUGAAACUAUGAAAUACAGUUUUGUAUCUGAAUUUGAAGCAGAAUUUCUGGAGUUGAUACACAUUUAAAUAUAAUUCAUCUGUCAAGAUACAGAAGGGAACUACAGUGCAAAUAAAAAAAAAAUCCUAUUAAAACCAUAACACAAAGAAAGAAUUUAUCAAAUCUCUCUGUCUUUCAUUACAUAGCACAGUCUUUUUUUAUACUGUUAGAUUCCUUGUUUUAAAUUAAAAUUAAAACAAGUUGCAAAAUAUAACAAUGAAUUAUUACUUGUGGUUUUAGCAUUCUGCAUCUACCUUGCCUUCAGAAGUUCUAUAGGAUGGUAAAGGCAUACAAGAAGUGACAGUCUCAAUGUUUUUUUAAUAUUAGUGGCAUCAUGAAGAUGUCACAUAUUUUUUUAAAAAUUUCAUUACUGUAGUAAAAAACUAGUGAUGAUUAACAUACUAGUUCCUCUGUUGCUUAUUUUUUCUAAAAAAAUUAAUUGCAGAAAUAACAACUUGUCAGCCUCCGUCUACUUAUGUAUUUUUGUACUGACAAAUAAAAAAGUAUGUCACAGAUAGUAUGUCAUUGAUUUUAUGCACAAAAGUAUCAUGCAAUAAUCAGUACUCACUGUUCUUAAGGCAAAGAUUAAUACCAAUAAGACAAGGAACUCACGUUUAGUGUGAAGAUUGCUCAUGCUUAGAUUAGAUUGUUGCAGAUUAUAAGAAGAUGCAAUUCCUUUACAUUUACUGGUGUUCUGAAAGCUUGCUUUACAAGUAGAAGUGCUAGAAUCACAUUUUAUUAAAUAAAAACUGAAUUCUGAAACAAAAUACAACACAGGUAAAUUCUGUUAAUCCUUUGAGUCUAAAAGAAGGACUAAAACAUUACCAGAAAUGAAUGAUUAAAAAUCAAAAAGAUUUUGUUUGCUUGUUUCACAAUGAACUAUUAUGUUUCCUUUGACACUGAGACACUUUCUAAGGAGUCAUUUCUGCAAAGAAGGAAAUCACUUUUGAAGAAA
ensembl:lncRNA